GAAUCAUUUGGCUCUGAUUACAUGAAUAGUCACGAUUCCUUUUGCGACUUCGCUCAUGGCGUCUUUGCUGAGAAUGAUUUAAAAGGAUUUUUGAAAGAUACGGUUAAUGGUCUCAAAACAAAUUGAAUUUUCGCGCAUCUGAGUGUAGUGUGUCUCCGCUGUUGUUGUUCGUCAGGAAAAAAAACACGACGCUUGAGAAUCCGUAUACGAUUCCAGAAAACUCGUGAAUUUGGCCAGAAAAACCAUAACAGCACUGUAAAAUUGGCACACCGAGGCCGGUCAACAAAGAUAGUGAUAAAGCUCGACAAACUACACCCUCCAGCCGGACAAACACCGGAAGCGCCAAACAAGGUGAACCCUCCGUCGGAACAACCAGCAACACACCAUCGACAACCGCAGCAGUAGACUGAUCCGGCGGAAGAAAACAUAGCCUUUCGUACAGUUUGUGUUCUGGUUAUGUUAAAGUGAGCGGAACUCCCGAAUCGAAACUUUUGAAUCUUCCGAGGAGCACCACAUGCUACGAAAUCAGGACAACCGAAAAGUAUUCCUCAACAGAAGACCUGAACGCUCAAAAUGCCGGGAAAGGUUGCGGAUCAAUUGGCACUGUUCAUUCUCCCGGAGUAACCAUCUGUUGGCGGUAAAGUUGUAUAUUUGUAAUAUUCAAUCGUAUUUUUAGUUCAUUUUUGUUUUUUGUAGGUUGCAUUUC